CAAUGCUUUUCUAUUUCAGGCACCAGUAGAAGAGAAGAUAAAAGAACAUAAUUUGACAGCACAGGGAAAUACAAAACAAUGAAAGACAACACACGGCAGAGGGCUCAACUCAACAGACACCAACACAUUUUAAGUCCUAAUGGAGAAGGACCACAGUCAGGAUGAGGAACCACCAGGCAAUUUAAUCGCUCUGCUACUACUUCUUUUAAUUAAACAUUUCAUUAAAGCUAAUGUGUGAAAAUGUU